rnacentral:rRNA from 1 species
GACGAACGCUGGCGGCGUGCUUAACACAUGCAAGUCGAACGGAAAGGCCCUGCUUUUGUGGGGUGCUCGAGUGGCGAACGGGUGAGUAACACGUGAGUAACCUGCCCUUGACUUUGGGAUAACUUCAGGAAACUGGGGCUAAUACCGGAUAGGAGCUCCUGCUGCAUGGUGGGGGUUGGAAAGUUUCGGCGGUUGGGGAUGGACUCGCGGCUUAUCAGCUUGUUGGUGGGGUAGUGGCUUACCAAGGCUUUGACGGGUAGCCGGCGUGAGAGGGUGACCGGGCACAUUGGGACUGAGAUACGGCCCAGACUCCUACGGGAGACAGCAGUGGGGAAUAUUGCACAAUGGGCGGAAGCCUGAUGCAGCAACGCCGCGUGCGGGAUGACGGCCUUCGGGUUGUAAACCGCUUUCGCCUGUGACGAAGCGUGAGUGACGGUAAUGGGUAAAGAAGCACCGGCUAACUACGUG